rnacentral:rRNA from 1 species
GAUUUACAUUUGAGUGAGUGGCGAACUGGUGAGUAACACGUGGGAAACCUGCCCAGAAGCGGGGGAUAACACCUGGAAAGAUGCUAAUACCGCAUAACAACUUGGACCGCUGGUCCGAGUUGAAAGAUGGCUUCGGCUAUCACUUUUGGAUGGUCCCGCGGCGUAUUAGCUAGAUGGUGGUAACGGCUCACCAUGG